rnacentral:misc_RNA from 1 species
GUUAUCUUUAAGUUUGAUCUGAAUGUUUUUACGGAAAGCAAAUUUGGAGUUUAUUUUUAUUCCCAACUCGCACAUUGUGAAGAAACUACAUGGGGACCCUUAUCAUAUAAUCAGUUACACCUCAACCUCAGAGUAGUUGGUGUCAGCUUGAUGAAUCAUCAUUCCCACAGUUAUAACUAAAAAUAUCAUCCCAAAAAUCUGUGAAUAAUUCAGGCUUUAAGUCUAAAGAACCAGAACAAACAGGAAACUAGUCAAGAACAAAGCACUUAUACUCAUCCCUGACUUGUUUUUCCAUGAUGUUGAUAAAAUGAAGAGUUUAGAAGCUCAUGAUGAAAAAGGAACGGAACAAGUUCAAAAGGAGUUCUUCAACUAUUAGGAGUCUACUGAUUAACUUAACAAAAUUAAUGAUGAACUAGAACAUUCAAA